AAUCAACGCUGGCGGCGUGCCUCAGACAUGCAAGUCGAACGAUUAAACUUUCCUUCGGGAAAGAUAUAAAGUGGCGCACGGGUGAGUAACACGUAAGUAAUCUACCUUCGAGUGGGGAAUAACGUCCGGAAACGGGCGCUAAUACCGCAUAAUGCAGCGGCAUCGCAAGAUGACAGUUGUUAAAGGAGCAAUCCGCUUGAAGAGGAGCUUCGCGGCAGAUUAGCUAGUUGGUAAGGUAACGGCUUACCAAGGCUACGAUCUGUAUCCGGCCUGAGAGGGCGGUCGGACACACUGACACUGAAUAACGGGUCAGACUCCUACGGGAGGCAGCAGUCGGGAAUUUUGGGCAAUGGGCGAAAGCCUGACCCAGCAACGCCGCGUGAGGGAUGAAGUAUUUCGGUAUGUAAACCUCGAAAGAAUAGGAAGAAUAAAUGACGGUACUAUUUAUAAGCUCCGGCUAACUACGUG
rnacentral:rRNA from 1 species